rnacentral:rRNA from 1 species
AACGAACGCUGGCGGCAUGCCUAACACAUGCAAGUCGAACGAGACCUUCGGGUCUAGUGGCGCACGGGUGCGUAACGCGUGGGAACCUGCCCUUAGGUUCGGAAUAACUCCCCGAAAGGGGUGCUAAUACCGGAUAAUGUCUUCGGACCAAAGAUUUAUCGCCUUUGGAUGGGCCCGCGUUGGAUUAGCUAGUUGGUAGGGUAAAAGCCUACCAAGGCGACGAUCCAUAGCUGGUCUGAGAGGAUGAUCAGCCACACUGGGACUGAGACACGGCCCAGACACAGACGGGGGGAAGGGGGGAGGAAGAGCGGAGGAUGGGAGACAGCGUGAACAAGGAGUGGGGGGGGGGAGAUAGAGGUGUGUGGGCUGUAACGCGUUUUAACGGGGGAGGAUGAUGCGAGUGCGGGGGGAAUCAGAUCGGGCGAGCGCCGCACGAGGAGCGGCGGGCAGGCGGACGGGCACACGUCUGACC